UUACUACUCCCUCCGUCCGGAAAUACUUGUCAUCAAAAUGGAUAAAAAGAGAUGUAUCUAGAUGUAUUUUAGUUCUAGAUACAUCUUUUUUUAUUCAUUUUGAUGACAAGUAUUUUCGGACGGAGGGAAUACUAU
rnacentral:pre_miRNA from 1 species